AUGAGUGUCAGUGGAUCCGUUUGGUGUCAGAAAAAGCAGGCGCCCUGGCCCUUUUCUGGAGGUGCUGGGAUCCUUUCUCCAUCUUUCCCUCCAGCAGGUGCCUCUGGCCUUGGUGUUAUUCUUGCUUCCCUCCAGGGUGUCCUCAUCCUAGAGGGCCGUCUGGGGGGUCCUCUGGGACCUUGGGUUGGCGGUGUCUCGGGGCCGCAGUCCACUUCACCUGAGCCCUUUGUGGCACGUGGCUCUCUCACGAUUCCCCAGCGGGACUUGGGGCUUUGUUGCUGCAUCUGGCUGUACCCGGGAGGCACUGACAUGUCUGUUCACCGCUUGAUCCGCAGGGGCUGUGUUUGUGCUUUCUGGCAUUGUAUUUGGCCCCGAGCGCUUACUGGACACUCAAGAAAUGGCUGUCCCUUCUCUGGUUGCUGUCUGCUAGCCCUCUCACCAGCCUGGGCUCUGUCACUCGGCCUGUCUGCUUUAAGGAAUACUCAGUCUACCCCAGCACACUCCUUCUGCUUGAAGAGCGGGCUGGAAGGAGAAAGGUGUCCUCUUUCUGCUCAUGUGGAAAUUGCCUGGGAAGCUAGUAAGCUGUUGGCUCUGAAGGCAGUUGGCUGUCCUGAGUUUUCGAGUCCCUUGGAAGGAUUCUGGGGAGUUGGCCGAUUGGCUGCAGGUACCUGCCAGGCUGCGGGCCGUGCCGAGUGACCCGGAGUUGGGGCUGUCGCUAUGUCCUGUUCUAAUUUCUGUUUCUCUGUGUGCUUUGUAAUUGGGCCACUCUUUCAGUCGGCUAGAGCAGUUAAUGACCUUGAGAAAUGAUCCCAGCCCUGAAUAUAGAAUCCUGCUCUUUUGAAGUCACCCACUUCCUUUGUGGGUCUAAACGUGUUUGUGUUUUCCCUCUCGGGCAUGCCUUCUCUUCCGCUUUGAUGCCCGCCUCUGUAACAACAGGGCUCGGAAUUAUUAAUUCCUACUGCGCAGUGAGGUGCAGUUUUAUUACACAGAAAGGGGGAAAAUAUAAUUGCUGUCUCGAGUAAUCAUUUUCUGAAGGCUGCAAGCAUAACCUUUCAUUAAUAUUUCAUUCGCGGCCAGGGUGGGUAACUUGAAUAGGCCUAAAAAUAUUGUCCCCUUUGCAUGGCGAGAUCAGGAGCUGGGAGCCAGUGGCUCUUCAGUUGUUUGCAAUUAUUUCUAAAAUUAAAAAUGUUUAACCCAUUAACCCAUAAAAAAGCAGACGAGAGACUUAUAGAGACACAGCUUCUUACUGAUUGGGGUAAAGGUGCAAAUCCCAGGCAUAACGCAUCUCAGCCCCUCCAUUUGGGGAGUCAUCUCACUGCCCUCACAGUGGAUUUGCGGCACGGGGUCUGGGGGCCAGUGACUCACUGAUCGAAGCGAGGCCGCCAGGUCAUGUCCUAUAGGUGCCGUGAGGCCGGACAUUCACAGGUCACUGGGUUUAAGGAUGCUGUGGGAAGUGCCAUGGUCUUUGAUGUUCCCUGGAGAGAGGCACUUGAAGCCUUCAAAGUGUCUCCCUGGAGAGAGCCAAAAGCUGAUUCUCAGGUUGGGAACUGGGGAGACUCUGCUCUUGGGGCAGAGAGGAGGCAGGCCAGUGGGGAGGGCAGGAGCUGAGCAGGUGGAGGGAGCGUUUCGGAGCCUCGGUGAUUGCUGGCCAUUCUGGGCAGCUUCCUUCAGCUUCCUUCCCAGUCCUGGGGAGUCCAGCGGGUUGGGGACCCAGUGAUGGCUCCUGGGUGACUAAAGUCCCCGCUUUUCAUGUCCUCACACUAUUUCACAGACCCGAGCUCAUCUGACGAUGUGAACAGCCUCCUGAGACCUACAGGAAUGUGAUGACAUCAGUCGUUGUCCCCCUAGCUGGUCCACUUUAGCUCAUGGUAUCCUCUGACGACUUCCCUGGAAGGAGACGCUCCCUUACAGAUGGGGAAGCUGGGCCUUUUGGCUGAAGUCAUUGAUUCCUGAGGUCACACAGUUGUAGGUGAGCUGGGAUUACUCAGUGGCCUGGCCGGGUGUGGGCACCUGUGGAUCCUGGUGGGGGUGUGGGCUGCUCAGCGCUGGGUGACCACAGCGGGACUGAUGUGCAAGGCCAGGGUACUGUGGGUUCUUACCCGUCGGGCCUCCCUCCACAUUUGGGUUUGCAGGGGUCCUGACUCCUAACUCCGGGCGUGUCCACGUGAGGGGGGAAGAUCACUAAACUCUGUCAACAUGAUGGGGAUUUUUAAGAACAUCCUUGCUCAGGCCUGGGGUUGCUAUGUUUCUGUGUUCUUGGCUCACUGUGUUUUCCUGGAAAAAUAAAUAAAAAACACUGGCCA
rnacentral:lncRNA from 1 species